CUACGGGGUGCUCCAGUGGGGAAUUUUGGACAAUGGGGGCAACCCUGAUCCAGCCAUGCCGCGUGAGCGAAGAAGGCCUUCGGGUUGUAAAGCUCUUUCAGCCGGGAAGAAAUCGCAUGGGUUAAUACCCUGUGCGGAUGACGGUACCGGAAUAAGAAGCACCGGCUAACUACGUGCCAGCAGCCGCGGUAAUACGUAGGGUGCGAGCGUUAAUCGGAAUUACUGGGCGUAAAGCGUGCGCAGGCGGAUGCUUAAGUCAGAUGUGAAAUCCCCGGGCUUAACCUGGGAAUUGCAUUUGAAACUGGGUGUCUAGAGUGCGUCAGAGGGGGGUGGAAUUCCACGUGUAGCAGUGAAAUGCGUAGAUAUGUGGAGGAACACCAAUGGCGAAGGCAGCCCCCUGGGAUGACACUGACACUCAUGCACGAAAGCGUGGGGAGCAAACAGGAUUAGAUACCCGCGUAGUC
rnacentral:rRNA from 1 species